AAUAGAAAUUCUUAUCUUGGCACAAUAGAUACAGUACCGUAAGGGAAAGAUGAAAGAACUGAGCCAAGCAUUAAAAAGCAAAGACAAGCCCUUAUACCUUCUGCAUAAAGUAUUAAGUAGAAAUAACUUUACGCAGAGAACCACAGCCAAGUCCCCCGAAACUAAACGAGCUACACAAGAAUGGCUGAAAGAGCAUACUCACCUAUGUGGCAAAAUAGUGGGAAGAUUCAUGAGUAGCAGUGCUAAGCCUACCCAGCCUGGUGAUAGCUGGUUGUCCAGAGAGAAUCUUAGUUCAACUUUAAAUUUACCCACAGAAUUACUUAAUCUCCCUGUAAGUUUAACUGUUAAUCUAAAGAGGGACAGCUCUUUAGGUCCUAGGAAUCAACCUUCCUACAGAGAGUACAAAAUAAUAUCUCCAUAGUUGGCCCAAAAGCAGCCAACAAUUAAGAAAGCGUUCAAACUCAACAUCCGUUAUUUAAUAGAAGCAAUAAUGUUAAUAUAAAUAACAUGAAAAUAUUCUCCACUGCAUAAGCUUACAUCAGACCGGAAUAACCCACUGACAGUUAACAGCCAAAUAUUUUACAAUAAGCACCCUAUUAUUUAUACUGUUAAUCCCACACAGGCAUGCUCUAAGGAAAGAUUACAAUAAGUAAAAGGAACUCAGCAAAUCUAACCCUGCCUGUUUACCAAAAACAUCACCUCUAGCAUUAUCAGUAUUAGAGGCACUGCUUGCCCAGUGACAUAUGUUUAACGGUACCUUGACCAUGCAAAGGUAGCAUAAUCACUUGUUCCCUAAAUAGGGACUUACCAAAUGGCCACAUGAGGGUUCAGCUAUCUCUUACUUUUAAUCAGUGAAAUUGACCUAUUGGUGAAGAGGCAGUUACAAGCAAAUAAGACGAGAAGACCCCAUGGAGCUUUAAUUAAUUAAUGCAAAUAAAAACUCAAAGAGCCUACAGGCCUUAACCUACUAUCUCUGCAUUAAAAAUUUUGGUUGGGGUGACCUCAUAGCAUAUUCAACCUCUGAACAACCUAAACUAAGACCGCACUAGUCUAAGCGAGUUAAUACACAUUGACCUAAUAAUUUGAUCAACAGCACAAGUUACCCUAGGGAUAACAGUGCAAUCCUAUUCUAUCAUAUCGAUAAUAGGAUGUCCUGAUCCAACAUUGAGGUCGUAAACCCUAAUGGUGUAGCCACUAUUAAAGGUUUGUUUAUUCAACGAUUGAAGUCCUACAUGAUCUAUUUCAGACCAGAGUAAUCCAGGUCGGUUUCUAUCUAUUUAACAUUUCUCCUAG
rnacentral:rRNA from 1 species